AUUGAACGCUGGCGGCAGGCCUAACACAUGCAAGUCGAGCGAGCGGCGGAGGGGUGAGGAAAGUAUGGGGACUGCCCGAUAGAGGGGGAUAACUACUGGAAACGGUAGCGAAUACCGCAUACUAUCGGAUAACCCAUAUGGGAUUAGCUAGUAGGUGAGGUAAUGGCUCACCUAGGCGACGCUCCCUAGCUGGUCUGAGAGGAGGAUCAGCCACACUGGGACUGAGACACGGCCCAGACUCCUACGGAGGCAGCAGUGGGGAAUAUUGCACAAUGGGCGCAGGCCUGAUGCAGCCAUGCCGCGUGUAUGAAGAAUGCCCUAGGGUUGUAAAGUACUUUAAGUCGGGAGGCGUUACCGACAGAAGAAGCACCGGGUAACUCCGUGCCAGCAGCCGCGGUAAUUC
rnacentral:rRNA from 1 species